ensembl:lncRNA
GCAGGCUUUGUUUUUUGUCUCCCUCCCUGUCUGUUUUUUAGUGCUCCCUUCCCCUGGCUGCCUGGGCACGGUGGUGAUUUAGGCCGGUUCGGUGUUGUUGCUGGAUGUUACACGGAUAUCUGUCCCCCAAAACGGGAGGAGGAGGAGGAGGAGGACGCAGCCUCUCUGCUGCUGCCCGGAGCCCUUCCCCGGCGGCCCCGGAUCAUCCGACGCGUCCUGGGAGGGAGAGAAAGUGGCAGAGGAGCAGGAGGAGGAGGAGGCGGCGGCGGCGGUGAAGGCCUUUAUACCGACAGAGCUGAAGGAACAGCGGCGGGCGCGCUGCCAACGCACAGCGGAACCCUCCCCCCCCCCCUCCGCGCACCCGGAGGGGUCACCCGGUAGCGCCCCACCGGGGCCUCAGACUCCGCCUCCGCAGUGCGGGACGGGACCGGCACCGCCGGGUCCGCGGAGAGGGGCGAAGCCUGGAAGAUGGUAACGCGGGGACAAAAUCAAUAGCUGCCAGCCAGACGUAGGGCUUCCCACAAUGCACUCGGAAAAAAAGUAACCCAACUAGACAAACUUGAACGCAACAAGUUUGUACAAGCCGCGAGAUAAGGGGGAAAUUAAACUUCUUUAUUGAUAAACUGCGCUCUGUUUGCCUAGGCUGUGUCUGAAAAGGAGAGUUGCAUCAUCAGGCAAAGAAGGGAUGAACUGUGCUACACAAGCAGACACACAGCCAGAAUAGUUAGGGUAGCAACUUAAGAGAAUUCGUGAACUGCACACACAAACUUGAAGGCGCAAAGGCAGGGGAGUGGGGAGGCUGAUUAGCAGAGCAUGGCCUCUGCACAAAGAACAGGCAAAUCAAUACAUGUAGGAAGAGCUAAAUUAUCACCACGCAUGUUACUGUAAAACAAGGGGAAUGUAUCAGGGCUGGGUAAAGAAAGAAGCUGACGUUUACUGAAAUAAGCAACAGACAGCAUGGGGAGAAAAGGAAAAUGGUAAUAGGGUGAAAUACAUGAAAUAUUUAUCAUAUCUAGCAAGGCACAAAACAGAUUAUAAUCUCAGAAGCAAAGAAAUGAAAUGCUCGAAAAUGAGUACAGUGUUACAUAAUGCUGUUAGUCAAAGCAGAGAAGUGGAGGUGGAAUGCAUAGUAAACGUGAAAAGUUGUACAGAUGUUGCAUGUCCUGAAAAGGGUUACUAAGACUGCUACCGAGAGUGCUGAAAGGGAAAAAAAACAACAACAAGAAACAGGUUUCACAAAGAAAAACAAGGGAAAAUGUCGACGACACCUUCCGUAAUACGCGAUCAAGGGAUAAAUGCCUCAUGGUUGUUUAUUUAGAAACCGAUGUUUUUCCAAGACGGUAGAUUGAAUGUUAUUCAGUCCCUCCAAAAUAAUAAAUAAAAAUAAUAAUGAAAAAAGAAACAAAGAAUAAUUAUUUCCCGAUAUAUCUGAGCCUUUGGAAGAAAGAUAGUGUUAACUUGAAGAAUUAAAACUUCACGAGCACAAUGGAAAGUAUCAGCAUUGUAUCAGUUUUGAUCUGUUCCAGGAAAGCCUGGUACAGUCAUCUUCAGCAGCAGCAGCAGCAGCACCAACCACGGAAGAAGAAAAACAUGAAAGCAGAGGGGGUUUGGGAUGGGCGACUGCUGCCUGCGGUGCGAUGGACAGAAAGGGCAGUGAGGGAAAUUGGAGAGAUGCAGAGCUGGUUAGAAUGGAGCAGAUAUUUAAAAAUAAUGAUUUGGAACAAGAUUAGGGACUCGAGCACCACCCUACAAAAGUGAUUACCGGAUACGACAAUGACAACAGCCAAGAAAACAAAAAGAUUAGAAUCUGCUCUAAAGUAACUUCUGCUUUGGUGUCACAAACCAUUCCCUUCAUGGUCAAAAAGCCCUUAAAAUGUUCAGCGUUAAACAAAGUGAUUAAUCUAAAAAGCAGAGACGGUGAAUUAAAGGAGCAGGGAGAUAACAAUCUGAUAAUACAGGAGCACAGAAGGCCUAAUAAUGAUAUUAUUAUGCACACUAACCAAACACUGACAAACAAAUAUUCUGUUAAUUAUAUAAUCAUGCAUAUGCUUCCUAUGCUUGAGAUAAAUGAUUACAGAAAAUCGCUCUCUUCUUGAAACUGCAUAUAUGUGCUAAGCCCUGUAGACUCCCUGCAACACGGAUUAAUUUAAUUUCUGCAUAUCACCUAUGUCUGGGAAAGUUAUUUGCCGCAGACUUGGCAGGCGGAGCGUGGAAUGCGGGCUUUGACCAGCAGGCAUGGGUAACUGAGGGCUGCUGCGUCCUGACGUACAGGCAGCAAUCAGAUCUCUCUUAUCAAUACCCAACUACUUGGAAUAAACUCAAGAUAAAGAUAUCUGAUUUUCAUUUGACCUAUUCCAAUUUACACUUCACUGUGUCAACUUUGAUAUUAAAAUGUUCCACUAGAAUAUAUUUAUAAUAAAAACAUAUAUAAAGAAGAGAAGAUGAAUAGAUAUUGUCAUGGAUACGUAUGAAGGCAAUCAUUUAAACAUGCAGCAAGAGUAACAUCACAUUUUUCAUAGCUUCUAGUCAACAAACAGUGGACAAAUAUAUGCUUAAUAAAGCUUAUUAAUCCUUAAUUAAGUUGCUGCACUGUAUGUCUGAUACGUAAAUGCAUCUCACCCCAGGUUAUGCUGAAAUAAGACAAAUAGUUAAAAAAGUUGGACUGCUUUUCUUCAACCCCACAAUGAAUUAACUCUUGAGCAGCAGUCUCAGUGGCUGCAAAACAAUACAAGUUCUCUGCUGUGGCAUGGUGCCUCGGUGCCUUCUAAGGUCUCUAUUCCAAUCUUUUCUUGUUUAAAAUAAAUAAGGAAAUAUGGGCCCAAGUCUUGAGGCUUGGCUCUUGUGCAAGGCGAACAGAAAGGACCUGGCAGCAGAGCAAAACCAGUAUGGCUGUGCAUUCUCUUUUAUCAGAUUUCUUUGGGGAGAUCAGGCUGAUUGGGUUUUGCACGUACGUAUUUCUGACAACUCUGCGGCCAUUUGGGUAAUUCAUCAGCUCCAGCCCAUGCUGGAGGUGAUGCAGAGAAGUGCUGUAGCAGCAGGGCCAUCAAGAAAUUCACUUUGCUGAGGAUUUGAACAGUAUUUUCCCCACUGCGAGGGGACAUCUGUGGGUAGCAGUGACUGCUGGACAGCAAGGUGGUAAAAAUAACAGUCCCUGGCUUUCUGAGGGUGUGGUAGUUUGCACCCUAGCGGUUUGCACUUAUUGCUACAUGGGUAGACAGAGGUAUUAAGGGUUCUGGUGUAUCCUUGCUUUCCUUUCCCAUGUCUCUCUGUGUAAGCCUCAACACAGUGGUGCUGAGGUGCAGACUGAGUCCUGAAACCCUACCAAGUGUUGCACCUCUGAUGGAAGUUGCUUCUCAGUCUUCUCAGACUGACUUCACCUCUGUCUUGCCCUGACAACACUGAAACCCUCCAGCCAACCUGGCUGUGGCAAUCAUAACUUUCACCCCACCCAAUGUCUCAGUGCACGCCAAUGGGAAUCACAGCACUCAGCCGCAUCCCCCACGCUGAGCUCCCAAGUUACACACCAAACUAGAUUUUUUUUCACUGCAACCUGCCCCAGCCUGGAGAGUAUGCCUGUCAGAAAGCAAAAGUGCUAUGAAAUGAAAUUCAUAGCACCGAGAAGCAUCGCACACAAGCUGUCGUCCCCUCUCACAUUUUGCAUGAGCAAUUUUUGCUCGUUUGUGCUCUCUUACAUACAAUGUCCUGAAACAGUUCUAUAAAAUGGAUAUUUAACUUACAGUAGUCAGCUGUACUGAACUGCACUUAAUUGCUUAUUAAGUGAAGUAAAUUAUCCUUACCAUAUUCGCCAGAGGUGAAAAAUCUACAUAUAUGGCUACAUGUAGUGCAUUCAUUAGUUUACGGACCCCAAAUCCCUUGGAAAGUAUCAGAUAUCUACACAGUGUCCCAUGGUGCAGUAUUUUGUAGUUGGAUGUCUCCGCCAGCUUGCAGAUAUGUAAAAUCAUAUACAAACAGACAUCUCCCUAUUGAUUGCCUAUGUGACGAGGCUCGUUUACUCCUGCAAACAUUUUCUGCAGUGUAUUUCAAUAAUGGAAUUUUGUUUUAAAAGUAGGAUUGAGCAGGAAUAUGCAAAAUGCAGUUUAGGGUAAAACAAAUUGCUUUUAGUCAAACUACUGCAUCAUUUUGCAUAAGCACCUUUCAUAGCUCUGUAUCUAUGUUGACUAAGAUACAACUGAAGUAAAUGCAUACAUUUAUACCAAUGUGGCCCCAACAGUCAUUUUGAUUUGCCCAUUGCUGCUACACAAGUCAAAUUAUUGGAAGAAAAUUAUGGAGGAAAAGCCAACAAAACUGUUGGCAUGGAGAGGAAGUGAAGGGUGAGCUUGACUGCUAAUGAGAAUAGAAAUUCUUCUACCCCUGGCUGUCACGAAGAGUCUACAUGGUUGAAACUGCAGUAGGCAGGUGUCCACAUUCCCAUAAAAGAUUACAGGGAUGAAUAUUAAUGGCUUAAUCACAUAACUCUUACUCUGUAGUUGCGCAAUCUUUACCUCCUCUGUGGAUAAGCUGAGUUCACUCCCCAAGUAUAUCAGCACUGCAACUUCCACAAACACUAACAGCAUGGUAUUUAAUAUAAGACAAUAUUUUUAUGACUGUGGAUUUCCAAACUCCCUCAAAUAACAAGCUUCAAUUAUUAUUUUUUUAAAAGCAUUUUCUAGACCAUAUCCUCUUCCAUCCAUAACAGUAGAGUAGAUCCUUGAUGAGUCAUGCUUGUAAUUUCCAUGUGGCAACUACAGCAAACUACUUCCACACAGAAACAGCAACCAAAAAAAAAAAAAAAAAAAAAAAAAAGAGCAAUAGAGUUUUAUAUAAUUGUUUUAAUGCAAUCAAGCUGGAAGGAGGGAGGAAAACCAGCAUCUGGAUCAGCCAAGUUACCUAUGUCAUACGUGUGUGUUCUGCAGGUCACUAAUUUCCCAAAUUUCUCCCCUAGAGGUAUAAUUUUCAUGCCUAUCAUGAGAAGAUAUUUAAUAUGAGACAUGGGGAGAUGAAAAGAGAAUGGUUCCUGUUAAAGCCCUAAUCAUGACAGAGCUAGAUAACUCCUAGGUAAGAGACUAGCAUGUGAUUGUUGCCUGAUAGAAGAAUUGGUUGAUAAGGAGUUAGGGAUAUAUCUGAAAAGGAGUUCUCUUAAUUUAAAGAUAUGUAAACUAUGCUCCCCCAGAUAUAUAAACCAGGGAUGUUUCCGUUGGUUUUGCUUGUUAAGAGCAAAGCUACACCAAGUUAUCUCCAACGUGUUUUGCAGUUCUGACACGGCUUUCCUUCCCUUCCCUGACUCCUUUUUCAUCACCACUAACCACUGCGUUUCUUCCCGAGGCAAUAAAUAAAUAAAUAAUGAAAAAUAAAAAUAAAUUUAAAAAAAAAAAAAGGUUUUAAGAAGACAGAAGUUUACUGUGACACUUUUGAGUAAGGAUGAAUUUCACACAGCCCAAGCAAAACUGCACAGUAUGGCAGAAAACAAUCUGAACCAUUGCGGUUAGCACUGCAGGAGGACUAACAUUGCCAGCUAGGGUUCCGGUGCUUGCACUGUGUGCUCCAACAGCAUCUAUCUGUUACAUUACAGCAUCUCAUCAACAGGACAAACAAUCAUCUUUUUCUUUGACCUGAUAGUGUGAAUAAAAACUAAAAAAAAAAUAAUAUGGAAGAGUUUAAGUCUAAGGAAAUGGUUAGAACUGAUUGAUGAUUUGAACUAUGUCAAACUUUCAUUAUGAAACCCAAAACCACAUGAAAUGUCCUGUUUCCAGUUUCAUUGUUAACUCAGAACUCUGCCCAGGUUCUUCUAGACUAUUUUUAAGGUUCAAAACCUUUUAAGUAAAACUGCAUCUAAUUAUGGCCAAACUUGACAGGAGUCAAUAUUCACUGUACAUAAAAUACAUGCAAAAUGUGUGGUUUUGGUGUAAAACAAAUUGAAAGUUGGUGGUUUUGGCCGAAUUCACUUUUUCUUUUAGGACUCACUCCAAUUUCAAACUCAGAAGAUUCCGCAAUAAGGAAGACGAAAUGAAUGAGUUUUUCACAGUUCUUUUCAGGAACAAUUAGCUGUUAAUGUUCACAGUUCUUUUAAGGAACAAGGUAUCUGUUAAUAUCCAGGCCCUAAAAUAAAAAAUGUUUAGCAUAUGCAGUGUCACUAAGAUAAAGGUCACCUAUACAUGUGUCAGAGUAUGCUUAGUUUAAAUGCAAACAACAUAAGGCAAAAACAAGUCACUUUAAAAUGUUACUCCAAGUACCUUAUUCAAAAUACUUGCACUGAUUUUAAAUGAAUUCAGAAAAAAAAAAAAAAAGAGAGAGAAACUAUAAUAAAAACAUGCUCCAAUAUUUAAUGUAUUUAUUUCCUAAACCAACUACAUUUCUAAAAUUCCUGCCUAGAGUUUACAAUGGAAAUGGGCUGCAAUGGGCAAGAGCAUUUUGGAACCCAAAGGAAUGUGGCAUUUUUAGGGGAAAAUAAGGAUAGUAUUCAUGAUGGUUUAUUUAUGCUCAUGCAAGUACUUGAAAGAAAUGUUUCAGUGUAAAAAAAAAAAAAUCUCUAAAUGAAGAUGUUUCCAUUUUAUAUCGAUGUAAGAACAUCCAAGUAAGAAAUGAGUGGGAAAACUGAGGCAUGGACAUGAAGGUUCUUAGCAGAGUUCCAGCUUCAAUAAAGUCAAUUAUUUUCACAGUGUCCACGUUCAUUUUCUAAGGAUCUCUUUUCUAUAUCAUUUGUUUCUGGUGGGUUAUAAUACAAUCUCAUUCCCAUACUAUCAUUUUUCCUUCAAAAAUGUAGGUAACAUGCUCGUGAGAAGUUUUCCUAUAUUCUGCUCAGGAAAAAUACGGGGUGUAUUCUCUCAACUCAGUUUUCUUUCAUCGUUAUACAGGUAGAAAACAUCUCUGCGCCAUUUAUAAAAAUGUAUGGCUUCAAAUGUGGUUGGACACACAUGAAGAAAUGCUCCAAAUUUUUACAGUCACAGAAAAGUAAUGUUCAAAUCAACGUACCCAAGCAUUUCUGAAACACGGAACACCUUCAAAUAAAAGAAUUCCCCAGAAUGCCAACAAGAAUCAACUACAUAAAAAAUUAUCAUCUCACAUCUAUGCGUGUGCAUUUAGCUCUUUCAGAAUUUUCUAUGUUAAAAGGAAAAAAAAAAAAAGAGAGAAAAAAUAAAUAUUUAACUUAGUAUCAGUUGGUUGUUGCUGUGGGCACAUAGCACAGGGUUAUUGUCACUUGCUUGAUUUCGUUCUAUGAAAAUCUUUCCAUGACCAAAACAAAUAGCAUGCCCAGUCUGUAUUGAAGUUUUUAAUAAAAAGCAGUAAAGCAAUCUGUUUCAUUGUCAAAGGAUUGAAAGAAAUUUAAUUAAUGCCUUCGGAGGGAACGCCUAUAUAAGUAUCACAAUCACAAGAAUGUGUGCAUAUGCAUAUAUGAAUACAUAUGAACAGCCAUACUCUACCCUGUUGCUUUCAUGUCAUAACACUAUAGGCCAUGGGCAGCUGAAGGCAAAAGUGAACUCAUGCAAUUUAACAUAUCUUGCUGACACAAUUUUAAGGUUAAAUGACACUGUGUAGAUUAUGAGAAGUUUAAACGCUAACUUCAUCACAGGAUAAUUACCCCUACAAAAGAAAGGUGGUAUAGAAAUGCUAGCAGACAAGCAAAUUAAAAAUAUUAAGUUAGAAACAAGGGAAAAUGAGUUUAUGCCACGUUGGCAGAAACAAAAAGAAGCAACAAUAAAAAAGAAACACAAACCCCAGAAACAAAAAAACACAAAGAUGCAUGAAAAGCAGUAUGCUAUGUUAGAUGUUUAUCUAUACAUAAGAGACAGGUGUCACAAAAACAAAACAAAAAAAUCAUGAAGCUAAAGAGAAACUUUAACUCACCAGUUUCCAUCUGUUAUAUCUGAAUUCAUGCAUAAUUGAUUAUCCAUGACUGGUAAGUUCUUUUUUUUCACUAGCCUAACACAGUUUUCUAAACAUUAUGUGUUAAAUCACCACCAAAGUAAAGGGUGUUUGAGAAACCGUAAGGGCAGAAUAAAAAUUUUUUUAAUGAAAAAUAACAUGUCAGUUAAUAAUAGAGCUGACCUAUGUUUAAGAGAGAAAUUUUAAUCAUGUGCAUAUUAAAUAUUAAUAACCUAUUCUGUUAUUGUUAUAAUAAGGUUAAGUAAGCUUCUCCAUGCUUAAGGAAAGAGAAAAAGUAGGAAUAUGUAACAGUGAAAAAAAAACACUGAGAAGCAGAGACAUAAGGAAAAUGUGUCAACAAUAAACAAGAGGAAAUGAGAAAGAAGGAAAAGAUGAAGGUGGAAACUAAUCUCUAUGUGUCAUUAUGACUGCCAGAGUACUGGCAAAGAAGCAGCAUCCUUUUAUUUCAAUUUUAAUCAUUUCUGAAUUUUAAUACCCUGCUUCUUUUGUAAUUCUCCUGGCAUUCCCUAUAUGCAUCCAUCCCAGCCAAAACACCAGUGUAAAUUAAAUGGCACACAACCACACCACUGAUGUAGCGCUCCCAGUAGAACCAAUGGAGUGACCAAAAAGCAGAGGAGGUAUGACCACUUUUUGUCCCUGUAGACCAUUGGCCAAUUGAGUGACUUAAUGCUCUUCAAUUCCUUUAAUUUUGCAAAGAAGGGCAGUGGUUAGGUAACCCAGCAAUACAGAGCCAUUAAAAAAAAAUAAAGCAAGCCAGUAGUAAUACAAUAAUCAGUGACCAUCAGGGCCUGGAAAAAUGAGUUUGCUCUCACUGGCACUAAGGAGCAUCACAUGAUUAUUUAAUUACAGCUCUAAUUUUUGUCUCGUGGAUGGCAACAUAUCAACAAUUAAUAGGGCAAAUAGAGGAGACUGCAUUUUUAAAGAGACAGAACCUAUAUGAAAUACUGCUUGGAAAUGCAAUUUAUCAGACAGCAUAAUGCGUCUUAAGGCAUAUUUUUCUUCAUGUCACACAAAUAUAAAAGUUCCAGUAGUUCACUUUUCCUGCAUAGUAUCUAGCAAAUUCUUCUGAUAUCCUUAGAAAAUAAUAACUGCACCUAUGAAUAUCCUAAUAGUCAUUUUAUUCAGUAAUGUAGAAUUCAGUUUCUCAUAGGACAUGCAAUCCAAAUAAAGUACUGGAAUCACAAGUUUCAAAUGCAAAAUUGUUAUUAUAAAAUGAUUCUAUCCUUUAUCCUAAAAAGAUAAUGAAAUGGCCAAAAGGAUUAUGGCAUUCAGCAAGUCAAGUGAAGAAGAAAAAGAAAGUCAAUACUAUGCAGUCAAUGGGACAGAGAUUGAUUUUGGUUUAUUGAUUUUAUGAUGAGAUUUUCUUACGAGUACUGAAAUUAGGGGAAGCUCUGCUCUGAAAUGGUUAGUUGCAGAUCCCGUUCUUCCCGGUCCUGCAAGAGACUUCAUUGCAGAAUGGGGGAACUGUGGGCAGCUCAGUGUGUGGAGGAACAUCUUCCACAUGCUGUACAAAUUACCAGAAUUUGCAAAUACAUUGCAUGGCAAACUCUUAUGUACCUGAUCUUCCUCACGAACACAUUCACUAGUCCACAGCCACGUGUGGACAAAGUAAGAAGCCUCUUAAAUUUACCUUAUCCACAAUGUAUUUCAGAUAAUAUUCAACAAGUGACAUGGGAAAAGCAAGCUCAAAACUUUUUCCAAACACUAAACUGUAUAUGUGAAAAACCUACCAAACUACUCUUACAUUUUUUAAUCUUACGUCUCAAUAAGCAAGUUAAACAUGCUUUUUCAUUUGUUGUUCUAUAGUCUAUCCUUUGAACAAGCAAAGAAGUGCUGACUUUGGGCUCUUGCACAGAAAAAAAAAAAACAAAAAAACCUUGCUAAACAACAGUUCAGGUAUUACUGUAAAAAUAAAGCUACCUAGAGAAGAAAUACUAUUACAGUGGAUGUACCGUUCCUCUUGAAAGUUGUCUGAAAUUGUUUUGAUUGAAGACAUGAACAUUCUGGAUUGGAGAUCUUAAUCUACAAUCUUAAAAAGAAAGCUGGCAAGCAAGAGCUUGUAUGUAGAAGUAUAUAUCAUUCUUUUUAUGCACUGGUUACUAUACAGAUAACAUGUCUCACAAAGACUGUAAUUAAAUGUCUAGUGCAGAAAUAACACUAAAAAGCAUACAGUAUUAUUAUAUUACAUUCAAUCCUUAGGAGCUAAAACUGUCAUUUUUAAAGUUUUAAGAUGCCUCUAAUUAUUCCUGAAACUUUACAUAUAUAAAGGAAGCCCACCUAUGAUGAAAAGCAUUAAUGAUUUAAAGUCUUUCUAAUACAGAUCUCUACAAAAAUGUUAAUUUAAUUUUUGAUUAUAAACAUUUUAAAACUCACUCUAAAAUUUCUCCUCACUUCUUUUAUCUGCCUUUGGUUCCUCUGUGAGUUUGUGUGCACGCACACUCUCUCACUCUCUCUUCUCUCCUUCUUUUCAGUCUUUUAUUUGAUCCAUUAAAAUUGAGAAUAUGGGGCAUGUAUGAUAUUUAGAAUUUUUAUCCUGCUCUUUGCAAAUGUUUUUAAUUACUUGGCUGUUACAAACAGACGUAUUCUAAGUGCAGUUACUGAAAAGGAAAUAUCUCUGUUGUACCUUUGCAUGUGGGUUGGAGUUCAGAGCAGCAAUUCUUUGCGCAUUUACCAUGUUUUCCAUUCUGGGACUGAUUUACAAAUAUAAAUAAUUAAUUAAUCCUUUAGUGCUCGAUGAAACGUGUAUUGUUAAUUUUUCGGAUAGGUAAAUAAAUAAAGACAUAUUAAGGCCUCUGAGAGUGAUUGUGUACUGCAGCUUCCCCUUAUUCUGUAUGAAGUUGAGUGCUUUGGCACUCCAUGGGCUCAUGACAUUAAGGAUUUUAAACAUGCUGCAGUCUGUGCUUUACCUAAAACUAGACAUCUUGCCACUGCCAGAGCUGACACCAGGACCCCAGGCACCAGAAAAGGUCAGGAGACAGUCCUCUGGGUAUACACAAUCCCAGUGCACCACCACUUCUUACAUGGAGCAGCAAGUGGAACGACACACAAAUGAUUGCUGCUGGCCAAAUAAAUCCUGUCAGAGCAGGAUCCUGGGAAGAUGAGGUGCACUCUAGGUUUAAAGCACCUCCCUCAUCUCCUCAGGUCAUAUCAUGUCAUAAUGUGCCAAGGGAAAGAGAUAGAGCAGAUAGUGGCUGGGAGUUAUGCAAGGCCAACACGGCUGAUAGAUGGGGCCCAUCCUCAAGCUUCGCUCCCAGGUGCAGUUCAGGUGACUGAGGUCUACCUGCAGAUGAGCAGAUUCAUCUGUUCAUCUAACCUGCAGUUCGUAACAGAAAAGCAGGAGAGAGCAGGAGCUAAACACUUGCAAACCUACAGCUGGGGAGAAGCAUUUCCAACACUGCUUUACUACAGCUCAAGGCUAGCUGCAGGCCCACACUCCUGUGAGAGGCCUUCAUAUGGCCUGUGCCAACCCUGGCAUAAACUCAUGCUCAAAGUUUUACUGGAAAACUUAUUGCAGAAGAAACUGCGGUAUUUUGGCAUUCUAAAUAAGUAGCAGAAAGGGGACCUUGGUAUGAAUGCUAUAUAAUACGUUAGUAUGUCCCUCAGCCCAUCUGAAUACCUGACAAUUGAUCCCAUAUCAGAACUGUCAAAACAGAGGUCUACAGACCUCUACAAAGAUCCUCCAGUAUGCUUGAGAGGAAAGGCAGACCCAGCAAGUUUAAAAGAGUGUAUUUACAACUCAGACAGUGCCUGAGGUAUGUAACUCUGCUCUACACCCGUACUCCACUACUGCUAUGCUACUCCUACUAUAUUACACAGAUUUCGGCUGGUAUAAAGCACAAGAACCAGAUCAGAACACAUGAACAAUGUCAAGACUGGCAAUUCCCUGUGAAAUGGAUCUCUAAAUUUAUACUUAUUGAGAGUAUGCAGUGCAGGAGUCAUUAGAAAUUCAACAUUUGCAAAGCAGCGAAUAGAUAUCAUUUAAGUAACAAAGUGUUGGUGAUAACUGUGGUAAGCUGAGAUGCCACAGGAUGGCAAGCAUUAGAAAACACCUACAUUUCAGCAGGGAUCAUUAUAGCAUAUCCUUUCUGAAGUAUGAACUACAAAUUGUGGUCGGAUGCUACUCAGUUUGUGAUAACAGUACCGCUCAUAAGAGAAGUUACAUACAAGCUAACUAAGUAUUAAAUAUAAUCAUUUUCAGAAAAAAAAAAAAAAUGGACAUCUUGGGUAGAGACUAUUAAUGGAAUACUCUGAUGGAAAAUUUAGGGAUGCUUUGUGUAAACCGAGAGUUACUCUCCCUGAAGUUAACUUCAGCUAAAGAGCUAGCUACUUAGGUCUCUAGAUCAAAAUGAGAAGCAAUACCAAUGGGGUUUACUGACAUGGACUUUAUAAAAUUGCAGUAUUUAAAUAUAAUAAAUAGUAAGGACUGUAAGUUACUUUUUAUCCGUCAAACUAAUUUACUUUUUUCUUUUUCUUUCUUUUCUUUCUUUCUUUUUUUUUUUUUUUAGAAUCAGUAGCAACUUUGUGACAACCAAAGUUUAAAAAAUGCACUUGAUUGCAUAGUGACAGAUUUGCAGAACAUUUUUCAUCACACACACAUAUGUGCUUUCAGUUAUUAAUAAAAUGCUUCUGCCCUUAAUCUGCCGUUGCCUGAAUAUACAAUUUCAGUGACUUGGAUAGACAAAUACUGUUAAGGAAUUCUGUUUUCACUGUUUGAGAUGCAAUUCAAAUACACCCAGCAAAACCAAAUACUGUGUCUUUAAAACUGGCUUCCGAAUGCCACAGAAAGGAAUACUGAAUCAGUUUUCUACACAGUCCCCAAGGAAUGAUUAGAAAACUUUCUUUUCUUCUCCUGCCCUCCUUUUCUUUUUCCUCCGUUUCAGACAAGGAAGAGCCAGCUGCCAUGGAUAGCACCACAGGUAGAUAUUAAAACGGAGACAGCCAUUAUUUAGUGGCGACAGGAAUAUAAAUACAUGCACUAACCUAUAAACCGGUGUUUACUUCAGGAAAGUAAGUCAUAUUUUUCCUCUGAUUGCUGUGCUGUCAGUUUAAUGCAGCGUAAAUAAACAGUAGGUGCAUGAUAGCUUUAAGUAGAAAGUGUUCAUUCCACAAGAGGAGCAGAUUACUGAAGCCUGAUGCCUAUAAUGGCAAAAGCAGAACUCCCAUUUUACCUGAAAAUAUAGCAUUUCAUACUAAGAGGCUUGUGGCUUUUCUAUUAAAUUAAUUUGUCAAAAUUCUAUGAAAAAUAUUACAUACCCAACGAACUUAACCAAAAACAUUCAUUUUUGCAGCCCUCAACUUGAACCAUUUGAAAAAACAAAAGCCAAUCACUCCUCUGUAAUUUCAUCAUCCCAUUGCUCUAAAUGAAAGCUUUAUAUAAUCAACCUAAUAUAACAGAAAAUAAAAUGAUAUAUAGAAUUGCCCAUACUUUGAGUUAUUUUGUUCUUAUAAAUAUAUUCCCCGACUGAAAGUAAAAAAAUUCCCCUUUGGAAAAAACAAUGAUUUCUGAGAAGAUUGUAUAUACACUCUACAUCUAUUAACAUAAAUUAUAAGAAAGUAAAAUGUUCCAGAUGUGUUUAAACUGUUGUGGAAGGAAAGUUUGUGGCUUCAUUGGAUAUAUAUUAAAUAUAUCUAGAGAGAGCAAUGGCAGUUAUGUACAAGAAGGCAAUAAAAUGCUUCAGUAGUGUCUGUGCUAAAAUAGUGUAGUUCCUAGAAAUGCGGCUAACAUUUCAGAAGUCACAUUCCUUCCAUUUUUAAUUCAGAAAUCUACUUUUAACAUAUAUCUUUAAUAUAUUUUUUGUAUAUAACAUAAUCUAUUUUAUUGAUAAAAUAAUCUCCUUGAUUUUUUUCCCCCAAAGUACAACUUGAAAUCUUACAAAGGACUUUGAAUUUAUCUGACAAUGAUUAAAAAUGACUAAAAAAUAGACAACAAUAAAAAAGUGUCAUCACUUCCAAAGAACACCAGACUUCAGCCCAGCAUCUCCUAAACUGCAGCCGCACGCAUCUGAACCCCUCUCUCCCCCAAACCUGAAACGUAGGAUGAGUCAGUGCUCGCUCAGGACUUUCCCACUGUUGCAAGGUUUUCGGGCUGAGGGCUGGGAUGGAUGUGCCAGUGGUCCCACAGGACGGAGGAUGCAGUGCUACUGGGCAGUGGCAGGGUUGCUCUCGGCUGUGAAGCACAGCCACAGAGGGCAAACGCUCAUCAGCUGCCCCGCGGGGCCUACGCUGCGCAAUGAGAGAUGCUCCGCUCGCGCACAGCUCUGGGCUCGUGUGGCACAGCCUCUAUCUGGCAGAGCAGCGCAUCCCAUUCGUGAGUUACGGGUUGGCUUUGCUCUACAGUGCUUUCUGGGAGCGUGCAGCAGGUUAGGGUUGGUGCAUGCUGCUGAAAUAACAGGAGAGGAGAAACCGAGACAGCCACUUUCCUAUUUAAAGUAUUAGCAGCAAAGAAUAUAAAAAGGAAACAGCUCGUUUUUCAAAGUGUACACACAAAAAGCAUUCCAUUUAAAUAUUUUUUGUUCCAGUAAACUCUUUUGCAUACAAAGGACUUAUUUAUUACAUAUUUGAACUUGUGGGAAAAAAAAAAAAAAGGAAGGAAUGCACUGAUUCCUGAAAUAACUCUACACUCUGCUUGGGGACUUCACUAUUCUGUGCUCUUGUUCUACUCUGAACAAUGUUAUUCCAGGGAUGAAGGAAUUCCUGGGAGUAGGUUGUAGCUUUUCCACUCGCUGUUUGUAUUCAAGAGUGGGCACACAUAGCACACCAGCCCGUGAUCUUAAUUUUUCUUCCACUGCCUCAUGAUGUGUGUGUGCUGUUUGUUUAGAUGCAUGCCUGUGCGUGAACACGUUACACUUCUGCUUGCUCAUUUUGCUACCUGCUCUGUCUCAUUGCUGCGUAAACCAUUGCUUUGACUUGGAAAGUGAGGCAGUGCCAAUAACAAUCUCAAAUAGAGAAUGAAUUAGGAAAUGAGUGUAUGUACAAAAGUAUUAUAGAGCAUAUAGGAAAACGAGAGCACUCUACAAUUCUACAGAUAGCGCUGCAGACUAAGAGGAGGGUACAAACGACAAAGAACGUCCUAUAUUCACAUCUUUACACUCUACGGUUACUGUUUCAAGUUGGCUUUGAAUAGGGCGCCCGAUUUGCCACAUUUCUAUCUGGUGAUUGUGUUGAAUGCUUGAGGAGAUAGUGAAAGAUCCAAGCACUCCUUGUGCUAACUACAGCUGAAAUUUUACACUUAUUGUAACCUUUUCUAACAAUGUGAGAAAAACAGAGUAAAUAUAUUAAACUUGUUUUACAACAGAUGCUUAGGUUGUUAAUAUUUAAGAUGCCUAUUCAUGCUAUUCCUGUCUGCACAUUUGUCAAAAAUGUAAGCUUGAAUGCUAAUGUUUGCCAGCAGACUACAGCAGACAAAUAUACGAAUGCACUGCGCUGAAAUAAUAGGAAGUAGAAGGGCUGCUGCUGCCCAGGUGGCGGGGAGCAGAGGGACAGGGCAGGGAGCUGCCCGACCACACGCCUUCAGCAUCUGCGUCUGAAUUCGGGAAUUCUGCGCACAGAAGCACCGUGCUCAGUUGGGCUGACUAAAGCUAGCGGAGAGCUUUCGUCAUUUGCGACUCGUUUCGGCUUAGGAGCUGGCACAAAGUAUUUCAGCAAACUUGCAUUUUAGCGAAGUUUCUCCAGCAGUGAGAAGCCCGGAGCCCGGCAGAGGGAAACUCCGAGCCGGGCAGGUGCCUGUCGGGAGCGCUCCCCGAGCAGCGAGCGCAGACGGCGAUCAAAGCGCGCCGAUGUGAGCCAACCCUCGGCUGUCGGGUUCGGAAACGGAGAAAAAAAUAAUAAUAAUAAAAAUGAAAAUAAAAUCCCGGAGCGUAGCGACGAACUGCUGGCACCGUUCCCCGCGGCAGCGGCAGCGCCGGGUCGUGCCACGGGUGGGCGAGGGGGGACGCUUUCCGGAGGUCCCUCCGCCGCGCCGC